rnacentral:lncRNA from 1 species
AGACUUUGCUGUGCUACCUGGAGCUGCACCCACACCACUGGCUGGAGCUGCUGGCGACCACCUAUACCCAUUGCCGUCUGAACUGCCCUGGGGGCCCUGCCCAGCUCCAGGCCCUGGCCCACAGGUAAGCACGCCCUGCCCAGUUGGAGACGAGGUUGGAGAAUCAGGGCUGUUGGCCACAUGUCCCUUUUUCCCUGGGCACAGGUGUCCCCCUUUGGCUGUGUGCUUGGCCCAGCAGCUGCCUGAGGACCCAGGGCAAGGCAGCAGCUCCGUGGAGUUUGACAUGGUCAAGCUGGUGGACUCCAUGGGCUGGGAGCUGGCCUCUGUGCGGCGGGCUCUCUGCCAGCUGCAGUGGGACCACGAGCCCAGGACAGGUGCGCCUCUCCCCACCCCACACCGCCCUGGACGCUGCCUGCCUGCAUCUGACAUGCUUUCCGGCAGGUGUGCGGCGUGGGACAGGGGUGCUUGUGGAGUUCAGUGAGCUGGCCUUCCACCUUCGCAGCCCGGGGGACUUGACCGCUGAGGAGAAGGACCAGAUAUGUGACUUCCUCUAUGGCCGUGUGCAGGCCCGGGAGCGCCAGGCCCUGGCCCGUCUGCGCAGAACCUUCCAGGCCUUUCACAGGUUGGGAGGAGGCGGGCGGGGCCUGGGACCAUCCACCCUCCCGCAGUGAUCAGCUCUGACAGGCUCCUCCCCACAGCGUAGCCUUCCCCAGCUGCGGGCCCUGCCUGGAGCAGCAGGAUGAGGAGCGCAGCACCAGGCUCAAGGACCUGCUCGGCCGCUACUUUGAGGAAGAGGAAGGGCAGGAGCCGGGAGGCAUGGAGGACGCACAGGGCCCCGAGCCAGGGCAGGCCAGACUCCAGGAUUGGGAGGACCAGGUCCGCUGCGACAUCCGCCAGUUCCUGUCCCUGAGGCCAGAGGAGAAGUUCUCCAGCAGGGCUGUGGCCCGCAUCUUCCACGGCAUCGGUGAGGCCUGGGAGGCCCCACCCGCUGCAGGCUGGGGCUGGGGGCUGGGGCAGGU